rnacentral:rRNA from 1 species
UACGAAGGGUCCAAGCGUUAUCCGGAUUUAUUGGGUUUAAAGGGUGCGUAGGCGGCUUAUUAAGUCAGUGGUGAAAGCCUUCAGCUUAACUGAAGAACUGCCAUUGAUACUGAUGAUCUUGAGUAUGAUUGAGGUGGGCGGAAUGUGUCAUGUAGCGGUGAAAAUGCUUAGAUAUGACACAGAACACCGAUUGCGAAGGCAGCUCACUAAGUCAUAACUGACGCUGAUGCACGAAAGCGUGGGGGAGCAAACAGG